rnacentral:lncRNA from 1 species
AGUUAGUCACAACACUAGAUGGCUACUAACUAUACUCAUAACUACCAUUUUAAUUUUUGAGUCAAAUCGGUCCAUUAAGGAGUAAGCCCUCCCUACCAAAGGUAGUUGCAUUCCCAAUGAUCAAACUUGAGACCUCUAAUUAAGUUAGCAUAACAUCGAACUACUAAGCAAUGCCACUUGGUGGAGUAAAAUUGAGUGAUCAGUGG